rnacentral:lncRNA from 1 species
CUAUUUGCUUGACCUGUUUCUUAUUGUCUUUCAGUGGCUGCUACCUGCCAAGGGGAAUUUGUAGUUUCACGUUUGGUUCGAACCAUAUUUCUCCUGGACCGUGUUGACUUGCCCUGUUAUCUCUGGCCAGCUUCCUGGACUCAUGUGGUAGGUUCAGGUAGCCUUCCUGAGCUUCUAAUUCUUUUUUCUAUUUGUGUGCAGGCUCCACAUCCAAUAGUGGACAGCAGUGGGGCACAGGCCAGCUGGAUAUUUAGCCCUGCUGAUUUGUUCUGUGUAUCCUGGGGUAUGUCUACUUCUGGGCCUCUUCUCCCUAGAUGCUAGUUACCUUUGAGUUGUGGUGGCUGGUCUUUAGACAACACCAGUGUCUUCUGGGCCAGUGGUAUCGUUCUGGUUGGGGUUAAUCGUAUAUAGUAGGGGCAUUACUGCCACCCUAAUCCUAUACUGUGCAGCAUUUCGAGGCCUUUGCAUGUAAGUUACAGAUAGGGUUCUUGUGACCUUUGGCUGUCUGCCUUCAGCCAUACUUCGGAUUCCCGUGGGGUCAGGGUUCAUCGGAGAGUAGUUUUCUCCAGUCUCAGGCGACACCUGAUGGUUCACCUGCAUCUAGGGGCCAUGGUGUGCAUUUCUGUCUUUGUGUUCCAUUUUACAGAAAUCUGGCUCUUUUUUUUUGUGUGUGUGUGGUGCUGAGGCAGACAGUUUCCACCAAAUGGUCAUUUAGCUUCCUCUAGGACAUCCUAGUCCAUUCCUUUGCUUCAUGUACGCCCGGCUGCUGCUGAACCUUCUGUUAGCUUCUUCUUAGCCACUUCUCCGGCC